AUGACGUCAGUGUAGGGGCGGCGCUAAAAAUAGAGCGCGGGGGCCGGGAGAGGUGCGCGCGCGCCGCCAGAACAGCGCGCCGCGGCCCGGCCGUCCAGCACGGCGCCGCCGCUCCACUGCUAGCGGUGAUCAGUGGUGAUGGUAGUGAUAAUGGUGACGCGGUGACGUCAGCAUGGGCUGUGUGACGUCAUACUGCUCACAAGGCACCUACAACAUAUCUGAAGAAGGGCGUUCUGACAAGACGGAGCAGGAGGCGACUGCGUCUUCCGCCGUUCAGGAGCCACUUCAGGCAGCCUUUGAGGGGGCAGACGCUGAGGGGCACGCAGUGCCACCGCCCCUGGAGGAACUGCCUGAGGCCAUUCGACAGAGGGAGGUCCAGGAGAGCUCCUGAUUCUGAUUUCUGAUCCUCCGCCCAAGACCCGCGCUGAUGAGGCGAGAACAGCGAGGACAUUGUGUCAGACUCUGCUCAGUGAUAAUGACGAACGAAGCGCACAGCUGAGAACGAGCGCGGAGAAUAUGUGAAACUAAUGUGGAGCUCAAUUAUUAUCGCGAAAGGAACACGAACUCCCAAACGCACUCAAUGAGCGAAGCGUGACAAAUCUAUUGUCAAGAUUGAUUAUAAAGUUCGUGAUUUUGCCGUUUUACAAAGACUUCAAUCUCAAUUUUGUAGCUUCCUGGAAAAAUGAUUGAUGCCAUUCAAUGCGUAGUUAGUUCAAUGGAGUACAUGUGUUGUGUCGUCAAUAAUGUUGUGACAUCAUCAUGUUAAGCAGCAAAUGCAGGCGCCAGGCGGCGAUUAAGGAAGCUUUUUAUUUGCAUUGUGGUGCGACAAAGCAAUAUUGAAGUAACAGCGUACGCUUGGAGAACUUUGUGUACGAAGAAUGAACUUACAUGUGGUUAUCUAAGUCCGGUUCUUGGAUCAGGCGGGAGCCUUUAUUGCUGUGCAUUGAGUACAUUUUGACGCCAUUUUGUAUUCAGGUUU
rnacentral:lncRNA from 1 species